rnacentral:rRNA from 1 species
UACGGAGGAUGCGAGCGUUAUCCGGAUUUAUUGGGUUUAAAGGGUGCGUAGGCGGCCGAGUAAGUCAGCGGUGAAAUUUUGCAGCUUAACUGUAACAGUGCCGUUGAUACUGCAUGGCUAGGAUUUGGUUGCUGUGGGUGGAAUGUGUGGUGUAGCGGUGAAAUGCUUAGAUAUCACACAGAAUAUCGAUUGCGAAGGCAGCUCACAAAGCCAAGAUUGACGCUGAGGCACGAAAGUGUGUGGAU